GCCCAGAUCACCAGUUAAGGUCCCUAAAUAUAUGCUAAGUGGAAAACGUUGUGAAGGUGCAUAGACAACUAGGUGGUUGGCUCAGAAGCAGCCACCCUUUAAAGAGUGCGUAAUAGCUCACUAGUCGAGUGCUCUUGCGCGGAUAAUGUACCGGGGCUAAGCAUAUUACCGAAACUGUGGAUGCGUAAGCAUGGUAGGAUAGCGUAAUUAACGCGAUGAAGGAUGACCGUAAGGACAUGUUGGAGCGUUAACUAGUGAGAAUUCCGGUAUGAGUAGCGAAAGAUAGGUGAGAAUCCUAUCCACCGAAUGAGUAAGGUUUCCCCCGGAAGGCUCGUCCGCGGGGGGUUAGUCGGGACCUAAGGCGAGGCUGAAAAGCGUAGUCGAUGGACAACAGGUUGAUAUUCCUGUACCGAUAUUUAAUUGCCGAAGGAAGGACGCAGAAGGAUAACACAGGCCACUAUUGGAUGUGGUUUUAAACAGUUAGUCUUCAUAAGAGUCAAAUGCUUUUAUGUUUAAGGAUAAGCUGUGAAUGUACCAAGUUUACUUGGAAAUUGUGUGAUUUCACGCUGCUGAAAAAAGUUUCGUAGGAAGAAAAUAUUGCCCGUACCGCAAACCGACACAGGUACUCAAGUGGAGAACACUAAGGUGAGCGAGUGAACUAUUGUUAAGGAACUCUGCAAAAUGAGUCCGUAACUUCGGAAGAAGGACUGCUGGUUUUAUACCAGCCGCAGCAAAUAGGCCCAAACAACUGUUUAUCAAAAACACAGGUUUCUGCAAAAUCGUAAGAUGAAGUAUAGGGGCUGACGCCUGCCCAGUGCUGGAAGGUUAAAAGGAGGACUUAGCUUCGGCGAAGGUCUUAAUUGAAGCCCCAGUGAACGGCGGCCGUAACUAUAACGGUCCUAAGGUAGCGAAAUUCCUUGUCGGGUAAGUUCCGACCCGCAUGAAAGGCGUAAUGAUUUGGGCGCUGUCUCAACAAUAGACUCGGUGAAAUUUAAAUUCCAGUGAAGAUGCUGGGUACCCGCGACAGGACGGAAAGACCCCGUGGAGCUUUACUGUAGCUUGAUAUUGAAUGUUUGUGCUGCAUGUGCAGGAUAGGUAGGAGACUUUGAAGUCGGAACGCUAGUUUCGAUUGAGUCACCCUUGAGAUACUACCUCUGUUGUAUGAACGUUCUAACUCUGAUCAGUUAUCCUGAUCGAAGACAGUGUCUGGCAGGCAGUUUGACUGGGGCGGUCGCCUCCUAAAAGAUAACGGAGGCGCUCAAAGGUUUGCUCAGAAUGGUUGGAAAUCAUUCGUAGCGUGUAAAGGCAUAAGCAAGCUUGACUGUGAGACUGACAAGUCGAGCAGGUACGAAAGUAGGACUUAGUGAUCCGGUGGUUCCGUAUGGAAGGGCCAUCGCUCAACGGACAAAAGCUACCCCGGGGAUAACAGGCUCAUCUCCCCCAAGAGUCCACAUCGACGGGGAGGUUUGGC
rnacentral:rRNA from 1 species